AUACGUAGGUGGCGAGCGUUGUCCGGAAUUACUGGGCGUAAAGAGCGCGUAGGCGGUUAAUUAAGUCAGAUGUGAAAACCCGAGGCUUAACUUCGGGAUUGCAUUUGAAACUGGUUAACUUGAGUACAGGAGAGGUAAGUGGAAUUCCUAGUGUAGCGGUGAAAUGCGUAGAUAUUAGGAGGAACACCAGUGGCGAAGGCGACUUACUGGACUGUAACUGACGCUGAGGCGCGAGAGCGUGGGGAGCAAACAGGAUUAGAUACCCUGGUAGUCCACGCUGUAAACGAUGGAUACUAGGUGUGGGAGGUAUCGACCCCUUCCGUGCCGCAGUUAACGCAUUAAGUAUCCCGCCUGGGGAGUACGGCCGCAAGGCUGAA
rnacentral:rRNA from 1 species